rnacentral:rRNA from 1 species
ACCUACGGGAGGCAGCAGUGAGGAAUAUUGGUCAAUGGUCGGGAGACUGAACCAGCCAAGCCGCGUGAGGGAGGAAGGUACAGAGUAUCGUAAACCUCUUUUGUCAGGGAACAAAGGCGGGGACGUGUCCCCGGAUGAGUGUACCUGAAGAAAAAGCAUCGGCUAACUCCGUGCCAGCAGCCGCGGUAAUACGGAGGAUGCGAGCGUUAUCCGGAUUUAUUGGGUUUAAAGGGUGCGCAGGCGGAAUAUCAAGUCAGCGGUAAAAAUUCGGGGCUCAACCCCGUCGUGCCGUUGAAACUGAUGUU